CGCUGACAGAAUGCUUAACACAUGCAAGUCGAUGAUGGGAGCUAGCUUGACUAGAAGAAGUCAUGGCGGACAGGUGAGUAACGUGUAAAGAACUUACCAUAUAGACUGGGAUAACAGAGGGAAACUUCUGAUAAUACUGGAUAAGUUAGUAGUAGCAUUACUAAGUAAAUGAAAGGUAGCAAUACGCUAUAUGAGAGCUUUGCAUCCUAUUAGCUAGUUGGUGGGGUAAAAGCCUACCAAGGCGAUGAUAGGUAGCCGGCCUGAGAGGGUGGACGGCCACAAGGGGACUGAGAUACGGCCCUUACUCCUACGGGAGGCAGCAGUGGGGAAUAUUGGACAAUGGAGGCAACUCUGAUCCAGCAAUUCUGUGUGUGUGAAGAAGGUUUUAGGACUGUAAAACACUUUUAGUAGGGAAGAAAGAAAUGACGGUACCUACAGAAGAAGCGACGGCUAAAUACGUGCCCAGCAGCCGCGGUAAAU
rnacentral:rRNA from 1 species